rnacentral:lncRNA from 1 species
AUUUAAUUGUGUCAUCAAUUAUUCAAAAUGAUACCUUGUCAAAUGGCUAAACAUAAUUUGACCAUAUAUACGGUUUCAAUAAUGUUGACACUGGUUAAGCAGAGAUGACCACUAGCCACCUUUUUUUAAUCAAAAAGCUUGUUUUCAUCUGCAUAGUCAAACUGUUUAUAAACUGCUUUGUUAUGUUAUGGUUGUUCUCACUUGAUUAUGAACAGGGAAGGGUAGAGGUAGGAGUAGCUAUCAAUCAGAGGUACAGAGAGGGCGUUUUGGUCCAAGGAGCUUUGGCAGGGUAAGUGGCCAAGAUGGAGAGUAUAACAAACCCAAAGGAAUCGGUUUCUAUGGACGCAAUAUCCGUCAAGAGAGGGGAUAUUCAGGGUAUCAAUGGCCAAGUAAUGGUCAGAACCUUGCCGAAUGAGCAUAGAGUUUUACCAAGAAAAUCAAAUUUUGAGGGCCAUAUAUUAUUUCUAAAUUUAAAUAGUCAGCUUCAAUAGAUGUUAAGAACCAACUAUUGAUGAAGUAAGAAAAAAGAACCCAAUAUUGAUAUUUUUUUGUCUUAAUUUAUGAUAUUCGGGGAAUAUGAUUAUUAUAUAUUGUUUUUUUAAUGUAAGGGGCUCUUUGUUUCAUUUAUUCAGGAAUUUUUAUCAUUAGUGUGCAUUGUAUUUGAAAUGUUUGGCAGUUGAUUAUCUCGCCACUGAAAUCUUGUUAUCUUCAUCAUCACUUCAGAGUUUGAUUACAUGAUAUUGUAAAAAAUAUAUAUUAAUUUCAGGUCUUUUGCAUUGCCUUUCCCACUAUCUUUUUUUUAUUUAUUUAAUUAGACUCGGAGUCAUUUUAAUUGAUGUAAUUAUAAUAGACUUUUACGGACUGUUACAUACUUGGAGGAAAUACAAGUAUUGAUUCUGUAUAGUUUCUUUAUUCACCUGUAGCUACAAGCAUUUAUUGGAACCUUCCCUAGCAACCUGUCUUGAAAAUUUGCGACAGUCAUGGAACUUUCCUGCAGAAGAUCACUUGAACAUGGCUCUGCCUUUAAAUUUCAGCUUUCCCCAUCAUCUUUUUCCCAGAGAAAGCAGGUAUAUGCUGCUAGAACAUUGCUGAAAGCAGAGAAGUUGUAAAUAAUUGCAUCUUAAUUAUUUAUGUAAAUGUUGCUUCUUCUCAAAUGCAAAAUUAAGGACACAGUUAUACUGCAUUGCACACCAGUUAUAGAUGAUUCAGCAAUUCUUUCAAAGUAGUAUUUACUCUAAAUCAAUAAGGACCUAGUUGCCCAUGGAUUUUUCUCUCCUAUA